rnacentral:rRNA from 1 species
AUUGAACGCUGGCGGCAUGCCUUACACAUGCAAGUCGAACGGUAACAGGUCUUCGGAUGCUGACGAGUGGCGAACGGGUGAGUAAUACAUCGGAACGUGCCCGAUCGUGGGGGAUAACGGAGCGAAAGCUUUGCUAAUACCGCAUACGAUCUACGGAUGAAAGCAGGGGACCGCAAGGCCUUGCGCGGACGGAGCGGCCGAUGGCAGAUUAGGUAGUUGGUGGGAUAAAAGCUUACCAAGCCGACGAUCUGUAGCUGGUCUGAGAGGACGACCAGCCACACUGGGACUGAGACACGGCCCAGACUCCUACGGGAGGCAGCAGUGGGGAAUUGUGGACAAUGGGCGAAAGCCUGAUCCAGCCAUGCCGCGUGCAGGAUGAAGGCCUUCGGGUUGUAAACUGCUUUUGUACGGAACGAAAAGACUCUUUCUAAUAAAGAGGGUCCAUGACGGUACCGUAAGAAUAAGCACCGGCUAACUACGUG